GCCAGACUCCUACGGGAGGCAGCAGUGGGGAAUAUUGGGCAAUGGGCGCAAGCCUGACCCAGCAACGCCGCGUGAAGGGAGAAGGCCCUCGGGUUGUAAACUUCUUUUAUCAAGGACGAAACAAAUGACGGUACUUGAUGAAUAAGCCACGGCUAACUACGUGCCAGCAGCCGCGGUCAUACGUAGGAUCCGAGCAUUAUCCGGAGUGACUGGGUGUAAAGGGCUGCGUAGGUGGCAUGAUAAGUAGCUAGUGAAAUCUGGUGGCUCAACCAUUCAGACUAUUAGCUAAACUGUUAAGCUCGAGACUGUUAGGGGUAACUGGAAUUUCUAGUGUAGGAGUGAAAUCCGUAGAUAUUAGAAGGAACACCGAUAGCGUAGGCAGGUUACUGGGACAGUUCUGACACUAAGGCACGAAAGCGUAGGGAGCAAACGGGAUUAGAUACCCUAGUAC
rnacentral:rRNA from 1 species